GGAGACAUGGCCCAGUGGUAAGGCAGAGGACUGGAAAUCCUUUUUCCCCAGUUCAAAUACCGGUGUCGCCU
rnacentral:tRNA from 1 species